ensembl:snoRNA
AGCCCCUAGAAGUAUGGCAGGUAUGGCCACUGUGUCAUAUGUGAGUCAAUCAGGAUGUAGCAGUGGAGACAGGUGAUGUCUAUGCUCAAUUUUCUGACCUAUGAACAUCUGAAUUAUUAGUAGCCUAACAUU